rnacentral:rRNA from 1 species
AGCAGCCGCGGUAAUUCCAGCUCCAAUAGCGUAUAUUAAAGUUGUUGCAGUUAAAAAGCUCGUAGUUGAAUUUCGGGGUUCUACCGUUGGUCGGGCUUUGUCUGUACUGAUGUGUAGAAUUUCUACCUUCUGGGGAACCAUCAUGUUAUCAAUUUAGCGUGGUGGGAAACCAGGUACCUUUACCUUAGAAAAAAUUAGAGUGUUACAAAGCAGGCUUAUGUCUGAAUACAUUAGCAUGGAAUAAUAGAAUAGGACGGUGGUCCUGUUUUGUUGGUUUCUGAAUCACCGUAAUGAUUAAUAGGGAUAGUUGGGGGCAUUAGUAUUCAAUUGUCAGAGGUGAAAUUCUUGGAUUUAUUGAAGACUAACUACUGCGAAAGCAUUUGCCAAGGAUGUUUUCAUUAAUCAAGAACGAAAGUUAGGGGAUCGAAGACGAUCAGAUACCGUCGUAGUCUUAACCAUAAACUAUGCCGACUAGGGAUCGGAUGAUGUUAAUUUUUUAAAUGACUCAUUCGGCGCCUUA